GGCGAACGCUGGCGGCGUGCUUAACACAUGCAAGUCGAACGGAAAGGCCCUGCUUUUGUGGGGUGCUCGAGUGGCGAACGGGUGAGUAACACGUGAGUAACCUGCCCUUGACUUUGGGAUAACUUCAGGAAACUGGGGCUAAUACCGGAUAGGAGCUCCUGCUGCAUGGUGGGGGUUGGAAAGUUUCGGCGGUUGGGGAUGGACUCGCGGCUUAUCAGCUUGUUGGUGGGGUAGUGGCUUACCAAGGCUUUGACGGGUAGCCGGCCUGAGAGGGUGAGCGGCCACAUUGGGACUGAGAUACGGCCCAGACUCCUACGGGAGGCAGCAGUGGGGAAUAUUGCACAAUGGGCGGAAGCCUGAUGCAGCAACGCCGCGUGCGGGAUGACGGCCUUCGGGUUGUAAACCGCUUUCGCCUGUGACGAAGCGUGAGUGAUGGUAAUGGGUAAAGAAGCACCGGCUAACUACGUG
rnacentral:rRNA from 1 species